rnacentral:rRNA from 1 species
AUGACCCAAGCUCCUGUCCUGGCCUUGCCUGAUUUUUCUCAGCCUUUUAUCCUAGAGACAGAUGCCUGUGCUUAUGGAAUUGGUGCUGUGCUCAUGCAGGGGGGCAGACCAAUAUCCUACUUCAGCAAAACCAUUGGCCCUAAAGCUGCUGCCCUUUCAACAUAUGAUAAAGAGGCCAUGGCCAUAAUUGAAGCUUUAAAACAUUGGAAACAUUAUUUUGCUGCCUCCUCAUUGGUCAUAAGAACUGAUCAGCAGAGUUUGAAAUAUAUACAAGAACAAAAGCUUACUGAAGGGAUCCAGCACAAGUUACUAGUAAAGCUAUUGGGCUACAACUUCAAGAUUGAGUACAAACAAGGAAAGAACAAUAAAGUUGCUGAUGCUUUCUCUAGAGUGAAAUACAGAUUACAAUCCUUGAUUGCUUCUCAAGUGAGACCUGCCUGGAUAUCUGAGGUCAUUUCCAGUUAUGCCCUGGAUCAAAGGUGCAAGGACCUUUUAGCCCAGCUGGCUACCUCUGCAACUGCUGUCCCUAACUAUGCCUUCCAACAGGGAAUUCUGAGAUACAAAAACAUAAUUGUAAUAGGCAAUGAUUCCUCCCUCAGAACCCAGUUAGUGUCUGCCUUACACAAUUCUGAACUUGGGGGCCAUUCUGGACACAGAGCCACCUACCAGAGAGUUAAACUCCUCUUUCACUGGCCUGGCAUGAAGCAGUUCAUUGUGGAUUAUAUCAAGCAAUGCCCCACAUGCCAAAUCAACAAACCCGAACACUGCAAGUAUCCGGGGAUGCUACAACCCCUCCCUGUCCCUGACUUUGCUUGGUGUCACAUUAGCAUGGAUUUUGUCGAAGGCCUACCAACUUCUCAAAACAAGAACAUGAUUUUAGUUGUUGUGGACAGAUUCACCAAAUAUGGGCACUUUAUACCAAUGCAGCACCCCAUCACUGUUAGUACUGUGGCCAAGGCAUUCACAGAUAACAUCUUCAAGUUACAUGGUCUACCCUCAGUUAUAGUUACUGACAGAGAUGCCAUUUUCACCAGCAACCUUUGGCAAACACUCUUCAAGAAACUGGGUGUUAAGCUGCACAUGAGCACUUCUUACCACCCUCAAUCAGACGACCAAACUGAAAGGGUCAACCAAUGUUUGGAAAAUUAUUUGAGGUGCAUGGCCUUCCUACAACCUAAGAAGUGA